GACCUGUAUUUUGAACUGUCACCGGAUGGUGGCGUGUCAGGCACAACCUGUCUAGAAACGUGGUCGGAA
rnacentral:ncRNA from 1 species